rnacentral:piRNA from 1 species
UCUAAUGAGUGCAUUUGUCUUUCUAAAAUU